AGGAUAAUAAUUUUAUUUUAAAAUAAUUAAUUUGCAUUUAAUAAAUAUUGAUACAUCAAUUUAUCUUU
rnacentral:tRNA from 1 species